UACGAAGGUGGCAAGCGUUGUUCGGAUUCACUGGGCGUACAGGGAGCGUAGGCGGUUGGGUAAGCCCUCCGUGAAAUCUCCGGGCCUAACCCGGAAAGUGCAGAGGGGACUGCUCGGCUAGAGGAUGGGAGAGGAGCGCGGAAUUCCCGGUGUAGCGGUGAAAUGCGUAGAGAUCGGGAGGAAGGCCGGUGGCGAAGGCGGCGCUCUGGAACAUUUCUGACGCUGAGGCUCGAAAGCGUGGGGAGCAAACAGG
rnacentral:rRNA from 2 species